rnacentral:tRNA from 1 species
UCCCUGGUGGUCUAUAGGUUAAGAUUCUGCACUUUCACUGCUGUAGCCUAGGUUCAAUUCCUAGUCUGGGAA